UAGUAUUAUUGGCUAAAGAAAAAAUCAAAAUCAAAGGCUAACUAUUUUAAACAUUUUUGCAAGACAUUUAAUUGUCCGCUUUACAACUAUUUUAGUCAGAGAAUAAUCAAUGUCGUGGUUGCAAAGCCUAUUAUAAAUCUUUAUCUGAUUGCUCUCACAGAAUGCAUCAGAGUUUCCUGAGACGCAAUAAAUUCUAUAAAAUGGAAGUAUUCUCAAUGUUAUUGGCAAGCGAGACGCAUUUUUUCCAAAUACUCCCCACUUAUCUUAUCGAUAGGCCGUGAAGCGUGACCACCGACCAAACAAGAAGAUUGUUGAAAAGCCUGUAAAGCAAACAAAUUAGUCAAUGUAUAAAAAUGGAUUCGACAUUUAUUUUUGUUCGUUGUUAAAUUUGCUCAAUGGAAAAUUUUUUAAUAACGAUUUAUGCAUGCUUCAUUAGACAGGCGGGAAAAAAACUUGUAAACAAGAAGUAAA